AACGAACGCUGGCGGCGUGGAUAAGACAUGCAAGUCGAACGGGAUUCAACGGGUAGUAAUAUUCGUUGAGUCCAGUGGCAAACGGGUGCGUAACACGUGAGCAAUCUGCCGGGAAGUGGGGGAUAGCUCGCCGAAAGGCGAAUUAAUAACGCAUAUGGCCAGGAAGGACAUCCUUCCAACGCCAAAGUCGCAAGACGCUUCCUGAUGAGCUCGCGGCCUAUCAGCUUGUGGGUGAGGUAACGGCUCACCAAGGCUAUGACGGGUAGCUGGUCUGAGAGGACGACCAGUCACACUGGAACUGAGACACGGUCCAGACACCUACGGGUGGCAGCAGUCGAGAAUUUUUCACAAUGGGGGAAACCCUGAUGGAGCUACGCCGCGUGGAGGACGAAGGUCUUCGGAUUGUAAACUCCUGUCAUGCGGGAACAAGAAAGUGAUAGUACCGCAAGAGGAAGAGACGGCUAACUCUGUGCCAGCAGCCGCUG
rnacentral:rRNA from 1 species